GAGGUAGUGACAAGAAAUAACAAUACAGGGCUAAUGUCUUGUAAUUGGAAUGAUGGUGACCCAAACCCUCACCAGAGUAGCAAUUGGAGGGCAAGUCUGGUGCCAGCAGCCGCGGUAAUUCCAGCUCCAAUAGCGUAUAUUAAACUUGUUGCAGUUAAAAAGCUCGUAGUUGAAUUUUAGCGUGUUCGAGUUUGCCAUUCGUUUGGCUUUUUCGAGUUCGCUUUUGGGUUUUCCCUUUUUACUUUGAGAAAAUUAGAGUGUUUCAAGCAGACUUUUGUCUUGAAUACUUCAGCAUGGAAUAAUAGAGUAGGACUUUGGUUCUAUUUUGUUGGUUAUUGAACCUUAGUAAUGGUUAAUAGGAACGGUUGGGGGCAUUCGUAUUUAACUGUCAGAGGUGAAAUUCUUAGAUUUGUUAAAGACGAACUACUGCGAAAGCAUUUGCCAAGGACGUUUCCAUUAAUCAAGAACGAAAGUUAGGGGAUCGAAGAAGAAGUUUGGGGGGGGUGGUUACGAUUGCCUCGAACGGUUGUGAAUAGAAUCUUAGAAAGGUAGCUCCACCCUCGCGGUAGUC
rnacentral:rRNA from 1 species